GUAGUUGUAGCCAAGUGGUUAAGGCAAUAGACUAGCAAUCCAUUGGGGCCUCCCUAUGUAGGUUCAAAUCCUGCCAACUACA